UUCCAGAUGCUUUUGAAGUACAGCAGUGGGAGGUCAGAAAGGAAUCUAGCACUGAAAAUCCUGUGCUCAAUGUGCUGUUCCUAGCCCCACCUGAAUCAUCAGAUGAAGAUGUUGUCAUCAUAAAAAAGAAGAGGAAGAAAAAGAGGAGGCACUACUACUGAUGAAACGUCUCCAGUAUUGCCCUAGAUGAAUGACACCAUGGCUCCCAAAGAAGAUAUUCCAAUAUUGGCCACGGUACAAUUAUAUUCAUGGAAGCGACCUCGACAACAUCGGUCUUCACCACCACCACCAGUUUGGGGACAGAAUGAAUCAAGCCGAGAAUGAAAUGAUAAGUGGAAGCUGUCUCCUGGCAUGGGGAGAUGGAGGAAUCGGGGAUAAUCGCAUUGCCUUACUCACAGCCCCUGAUGCAAUUCAGAUGCAUAUUUGGAAGAUCAUAACAGCCUUAAAACCUGCUCAGCUUUUUAAUGUCUUAUUUAUUGGAACAGCAAUAUCUGCUUCUACUUAGACUUACCUUGUCUAAAAGUAUUGAUGUUACUGCUUGUGUGUCACUACCAUAUGUAUUUUUAGUUGGAAGAAUUAAGUUUACAAUUGGAAUUAUUAUGAUUGUUAAUUGUAUUCAUUUAUUAAUUCCUCUGCUAAGUUUAAUCCUCAUAAGCAAUCAUUUAUGAUAUUACAGCAGCGUACACAUAUUUGGCUGCCUGUAAACUUGGGUCAUUCUUGGGCUCAAAAUCCUCCAGAUCAUAUUGUUGUAGAAUUCUUCAAAAAGAUAUUGAAAAGAACAAAGUGCAUGUUAGGUAUACUAAUGGCUGUAUUUCUUAACCUUAUUGCUGUUGUUGCUACUGCUUCUGUGGCUGUUAUUGCUU